GUGGGGAAUAUUGGACAAUGGGCGCAAGCCUGAUCCAGCAAUACCGCGUGUGUGAAGAAGGCCCUAGGGUUGUAAAGCACUUUCAAUUGGGAGGAAAACCUGCCGGUCAAUACCCGGUAGCUUGACAUUACCUUUAGAAGAAGCACCGGCUAACUCCGUGCCAGCAGCCGCGGUAAUACGGAGGGUGCAAGCGUUAAUCGGAAUUACUGGGCGUAAAGCGUGCGUAGGCGGUUCGUUAAGUCAGAUGUGAAAGCCCCGGGCUUAACCUGGGAACUGCAUUUGAAACUGGCGGACUAGAGUUGAGUAGAGGGGAGUGGAAUUUCAGGUGUAGCGGUGAAAUGCGUAGAUAUCUGAAGGAACACCAGUGGCGAAGGCGACUCCCUGGACUCAAACUGACGCUGAGGUACGAAAGCGUGGGUAGCAAACAGGAUUAGAUACCCUAGUAGUCC
rnacentral:rRNA from 1 species